rnacentral:rRNA from 1 species
ACGAACGCUGGCGGCGUGCCUAAUACAUGCAAGUCGAACGCACUCUCGUUUAGAUUGAAGGAGUUUGCUCCUGAUUGAUAAACAUUUGAGUGAGUGGCGGACGGGUGAGUAACACGUGGGUAACCUGCCCUAAAGUGGGGGAUAACAUUUGGAAACAGAUGCUAAUACCGCAUAAAACCUAACACCGCAUGGUGUAGGGUUGAAAGAUGGUUUCGGCUACCACUUUAGGAUGGACCCGCGGUGCAUUAGUUAGUUGGUGAGGUAAAGGCUCACCAAGACCGUGAUGCAUAGCCGACCUGAGAGGGUAAUCGGCCACACUGGGACUGAGACACGGCCCAGACUCCUACGGGAGGCAGCAGUAGGGAAUCUUCCACAAUGGACGAAAGUCUGAUGGAGCAACGCCGCGUGAGUGAAGAAGGUUUUCGGAUCGUAAAACUCUGUUGUUGGAGAAGAAUGUAUCUGAUAGUAACUGAUCAGGUAGUGACGGUAUCCAACCAGAAAGCCACGGCUAACUACGUG